rnacentral:sRNA from 1 species
GAGGACUGAAGUGGAGAAGGGUUUCGUGUGAACAGUGGUUGAUCACGAGUUAGUCGGUCCUAAGUUCAAGGCGAAAGCCGAAAAUUUUCAAGUUUUAAAAAUGUCAAAUGAAAUAAUAAAUAAUAAAACACUUGAAUAAUUUUGAACGAAAGGGAAUACGGUUCCAAUUCCGUAACCUGUUGAGUAUCCGUUUGUUUUUAAAUAUGGGCCUCGUGCUCAUCCUGGCAACAGGAACGACCAUAAAGAAGCCGUCGAGAGGUAUCGGAAGAGUUUUCUUUUCUGUUUUAUAGCCGUACUACCAUGGAAGUCUUUCGCAGAGAGAUAUGGUAGAUGGGCUAGAAGAGCAUGACAUAUACUGUUGUGUCGAUAUUUUCUCCUCGGACCUUGAAAAUUUAUGGUGGGGAUACGCAAACUUCUCAACAGGCCGUACCAAUAUCCGCAGCUGGUCUCCAAGGUGAAGAGUCUCUAGUCGAUAGAAUAAUGUAGGUAAGGGAAGUCGGCAAAUUAGAUCCGUAACUUCGGGAUAAGGAUUGGCUCUGAAGAUUGAGAUAGUCGGGCUUGAUUGGGAAACAAUAACAUGGUUUAUGUGCUCGUUCUGGGUAAAUAGAGUUUCUAUCAUUUAUGAUAGUUAUUUGUUCCCCGGAUAGUUAGUUACGUAGCCAAUUGUGGAACUUUCUUGCUAAAAUUUUUAAGAAUACUAAUUUUUAAUUAGUUCUUUUAAAUUAUAACGAUUAUCAAUUAACAAUCAAUUCAGAACUGGCACGGACUUGGGGAAUCCGACUGUCUAAUUAAAACAAAGCAUUGUGAUGGCCCUAGCGGGUGUUGACACAAUGUGAUUUCUGCCCAGUGCUCUGAAUGUCAAAGUGAAGAAAUUCAAGUAAGCGCGGGUCAACGGCGGGAGUAACUAUGACUCUCUUAAGGAAAGCUAACAGGAAAGGAAUAUUUGCACGGUGUCAAAUUGCGGAUAAAUGCCCUACCCUCGAAGUCUCGUACGACGAGGGGAAGGCACGAAUUGGAGAGACGGUGUCGUGCAGGAUGUGAUGCUCCCGAGACAACAAACCACAUCUUGCAAAAAUGCUAUCGUACGCAUGGGAGGCGGGUAGCUAGACACAACAGCGUAGUAAAUGCCGUCAAGCGGGGACUUGAACGGAAAGGCUGCGUUGUCCAUGUCGAACCAAGUCUGCAAUGCGACUCGGGCUUAAAUAAACCGGACCUGGUGGGAAUCCGACAGAAUCACAUUUAUGUGAUAGACGUUCAGGUUGUGACAGACGGACAUUCCUUAGACCAAGCGCACCAGCGCAAGGUCGAAAGGUACGACAGAGCUGACAUAAGAUCACAAAUGCGGCGAUUUUUCGGAGCGACAGGUGAAAUCGAGUUUCAUUCCGUUACACUCAACUGGAGAGGAAUCUGGAGUGGUCAGUCGGUAAAACGAUUGAUUGCAAAGGAUCUCCUCAUCGCUGAAGAUACCAAACUCAUCAGCGUCAGAGCAGUAAAUGGCGGAGUGACGUCCUUCAAAUAUUUCAUGUAUUGUGCUGGGUAUACUCGAAGCUAGAUGUACUAACCUCUAGCUUUUCUUAUACUUUUGCCUGCUACCUUGGCAUUACAUCUAAAAAGGUACAAACAUCGCAUUGUCAUAAAGAGGUGGUUUUAGUACGUAGGCGCUGUGGGACUUCAUUGUCCCGGUGAUGCAGUGAAUCGUGCAUACGAGAUUGUCCAGUAGUUGGUUGCUCGUAUCUUUAGAAGAUUUCCUUCCUCGGCG